UGGGGAAUAUUGCGCAAUGGGGGAAACCCUGACGCAGCAAUACCGCGUGAGUGAAGAAGGUUUUCGGAUCGUAAAGCUCUGUUAUUGGGGAAGAAAAAAAGACGGUACCCAAGAAGAAAGUCCCGGCUAACUACGUGCCAGCAGCCGCGGUAAUACGUAGGGGACAAGCGUUGUCCGGAUUUACUGGGCGUAAAGGGCACGCAGGCGGUUUUUUAAGUCAGAUGUGAAAGGUACCGGCUCAACCGGUGACAUGCAUUUGAAACUGAAAGACUUGAGUAUUGGAGAGGCAAGUGGAAUUCCUAGUGUAGCGGUGAAAUGCGUAGAUAUUAGGAGGAACACCGGUGGCGAAGGCGGCUUGCUGGACAAAUACUGACGCUGAGGUGCG
rnacentral:rRNA from 1 species